GGGCUUGGCCUCCCCAGGAGAGGCUAGAGAGAGACUCCUGCUCCCGGAAGCCAGGCUGCCAUGGGCACCAGCUCCCCGGGGUUCCAGGUGCCCCUAAGCUUUCUCCACGCUCUAGGAAAGGCCUUCUAGCAAAGGACCCAGGCGAGAAGAGGUGCUGAGGUGUCCCAACUCUGGUUGAAUUGACCAGAUGAAGAAGAGAAACCUAGGUGGCUUUAGUGAAGCUGUUGACCUGCAAAUGUCAAAAGCCUUUUCUUUGAGACUCAUGGCUCUGCAAGUCUGAAGAAGAUUAGGAAGCAAGACAGGAUUGUGGCAAGGUUCAAACCUUUUGACUUUGGGUAACAACGUAAGGUUUUCUGUUAAAGGGCACUUCCUGUUGUGGCAGGGUGCACCAGGCAACCUCAGAUUGGGCCUCUGCCCCUCUGGGAGCACUGUGACUUGGAAAGACCCCAAAAAAGUAAUCUUUUUUUUUUUUAAUACUGAGAAUCCAACUCAGAACAUUGCGCUUGCCAGGCAGUCUGCCACGCAAUCUCGGUGCCAUUGAGCUACAUCCCGGCCUCAAGGGUAAUCUCUUUAUGUGGAAAUUCUGAGGUAGCAUCAUAUGAAGCGAGAGCUCCUAACUUGGAUCUGUGGAAUUCAUUCUUUUGAUGGAAGACCAUGCACUUUUCCCUCAAGGAGGGCUCACUACUAGUCAGGGAAUCCUACAGCCAGUCACACCACUCCGGUGGUCACUCCGGAGCUUCCAGUGGUUGAGAGCCUUGACCCCCAGAGAACAGUUUGACGAUUUUAGUUUUCUUAAGAAUAUUUGGACUUGUUUUAUGGCCUAUCUUAAAGAAUGCCCUAUGUGUACUUGGAAAGAAUAUGUAUGUUGUAAAAAUAAAUGCUGACGAGGAUGCCGGGUGAAGAAACUCUACACUGCUGAUGGGAAUGCAAAUUAGUACAGACACUAUGGAAAUCAUUAUGGAGAUUCCUCAAAAAACCUAAAAAUAGAACUGCCAUAUGACGAAGCUAUACCACUCCUUGGUCUAGACCUAAAUGAACUAAAGCCAGCAUCCUCUAGGAAUACCUGCAUCCCUGUGUUUAUCAUGGUACAAUUCACAGUAGUCAAGAUGUGGAACGAACCAGCCUAGGUGUCCAUCAAGAGAUGAAUGGAUAAAGGAAAUGCAUUAUAUUUUAUGUAUACAUUAUACAUUACAAUGUGAAUAAUAUAUAAUGGAGUAUUAUUUAGCUGUAAAGAAGGGGAAGUAUGUCAUUUGCAAGAAAAUGGAUGGAACUGGAGAUCUUCAUAUUAAAAUAAGCCAGACUCAGAAAGACAUGUAUCACGUGUUCUCCGUAGUAUGUGGGAACAUAAAACAAAUGGUGUGAAAGUAGAAGGGAAACUAUUACUAGACAAGAGGAAAGAAAUAAGGGAAGGGGAAUGUAAGGGGGGCUAAUAGGAAAGAUGGAUCUGAUUAAAAUACAUGCGUGUAUGAAAAUACUGCCUUAAAACCCAAUGUUUUGUAAAAUUAAUAGACACUAAUACAAUAUAGUUUAAAAACAAGAAGUGCGCAUUCUGUUGUUACUGGAUGGGGUGAUCUGUAUCAGUUAGAUCCUGUUGGUGAAUGGGGUUGUUCAAGUUUUCUUUAAUCGUGGUGAUUUUCUGGUAGCUAUUCUAUCGAUUAUUGAGAGUAGGUAUAAAAAUCUCCAGAAAUUUGCCCUUCCCUUCAAACAAGGGUGAACCCUUGAACAGCAGAUGGGGAUUUCAUGCCAUGAUCAUGUGAUACAGCAGAAAGCUGUCUGAGGAUCUACUCUCAUCACGUGAGCCCUGCAGCAACAGUGAAUUCUCUACGGUUUGUGGGCAGAAGAGGAAAUUAGACAAACUCAAAGCAUGAGAAGAACCCAUGUACCGUUGCUUUGAAGAUGGAGGGCCCACACAGAUAGGACCAGAAUGAAGCCUCUAGAAGCUACAUGAUCCCCAGUCGACAGCUAAAAAGCAGGACCUCAGUCCUACAGCUGCAAAGAAUUGAAUUCUUCCAGCAACCUGACUGAGCUUGGUGGCAGAUUGUUUCCUGGAGCCUCAAGAUAACAGCCAUUAUGUGAUUUCAGCCUGGGGAGGCACUGGGCAGAGAACGUGGUCCGGGCAGCUGGACAUCUGCCCAACAGAACCAUAUGUUGCUAAGGCUAAGUUGCUGAGACUGUGGUCACUUGUUAGGUGGUGUUAGAAAAUGAAUACGGCUGUGUCAAGUUUUACUCCACCAUGGUUACAAGUCCUGCCUCCUUGCAGAGUUAAUAUUGAAAAAUAAAAUUCGAGAUUUCUGAAUUCUUUUAACAAAUGGAAAGAUCUUGUCAUUGGAGAUUUAAAUUUCUAAUGUCUGCUAGAACGGAACAGUGGUUCUCCAUAUACUCCUGCUAGCCAGGGUCUAGCUCCUCUGGUUCACCUGUCUUUCACACCAAGCCAACAUCCCCAAUUACAGGCCUGGCUGGGGAAUUUGUGAAUCUGUGACGCUGGAUUGGCACGUGCCCAGCUGGUAGUGAAUGCUCAGGUGCAGUUGCUGAAUUAGUGAGCAGGCAACAUGUAGGAGGCACUUACACAUGGC
rnacentral:lncRNA from 1 species